AAAUUGAAGAGUUUGAUCAUGGCUCAGAUUGAACGCUGGCGGCAGGCCUAACACAUGCAAGUCGAACGGUAACAGAAAGCAGCUUGCUGCUUUGCUGACGAGUGGCGGACGGGUGAGUAAUGUCUGGGAAACUGCCUGAUGGAGGGGGAUAACUACUGGAAACGGUAGCUAAUACCGC
rnacentral:rRNA from 1 species